GUGGUGUGCUCAGAGCAGGGACCCUGAAGAAUGGCCUCUCUGUUUACAACACACCCAACAGAAAUCUUGGGCCAUUGUGACAAGGAGCACAACACUUUGUUCUCCUGCGAGCAAGUGCCCUACAUGU
rnacentral:snoRNA from 1 species